CCUACGGGCGGCAGCAGUGAGGAAUAUUGGUCAAUGGGCGAGACCCUGAUCCAGCCACGCCGCGUGAAGGAUGACUGCCCUACGGGUUGUAAACUUCUUUUAUAAAGGACUAAAGUGAGGCACGUGUGCCAUUUUGCACGUACUAACUGAAUCCGGAUCGGCUAACUCUGUGCAAGCAGCCGCGGGAAUACGGAGGUUCCGGGCGUUAUCCGGAUUUAAUGGGUGUAAAGGGAGCGUAGGGGGGUUGUGAAGUCAGUUGUGAAAGUUUGCGGCUCAACCGGGAAAGUGCAAUUGAUACUGGCAGUCUUGAGUGCAGUAGAGGUAGGCGGAAUUCGUGGUGUAGCGGUGAAAUGCGUAGAUAUCAGGAGGAACACCAGUGGCGAAGGCAGCUUACUAGACUGCCACUGACGUUGAGGCUCGAAAGUGUGGGGAGCAAACAGGAUUAGAUACCCGUGUAGUC
rnacentral:rRNA from 1 species